GGCGAGGUAGCCAAGGUGGUCACGGCGACUGUCUGAAAAACAGUAGAUCUCAGUCCGACUCUGAGCCUCGCCA
rnacentral:tRNA from 1 species